UUCUCUACCUUUCUCUCCUCUCUACAGCUGUGGUUUGGAUAGGCGCGACCAUGGGUUAGGCAAGGGAGAGCACUGGAGAACACGGCAAUAUACUGAACCUCGUCAUGUACGGCAGCUAGCUGUCGUGGCGAUGGGGCUGGAGGUUGGUGGCGCGGAGGAGGCGGUGACGCAUCUGACGGAGGGCGCACUGGUUCGCUGAGUUCCCGGACGAACUCGUGCGUGCUGAUCUUCCAAGCCGGUUGUACCAAAUCGAGUGGGCUGCAAGUGCGUUGUCUUGGAGGCCAUUUCUGACCGAGGCAUGGUCCGCGCAGUCAAGCUACUGCUGUUGCACCGGCCACCAGGGAGACCGCAUCUCGCGUCGCUAAUCUGGAAAGGCAGAUGCCGGUCACCGGGGAGGAGGGUGCGGGGACAAAGAAUUUUGGCGUUGCAUUGAAAGGCCUGUUGUUCCUUUUUCGUCCCAGGCUAAGGAAGAGCAACAGGGCGGGGACUGGCAGAAAAUAAUGGCUGGCUAAUGGAGAAUGGUUGGAUCUGAGGCACAUGACAAAACGGGCACUGCGUCUAUGGUCCAUGUGAGGUAUGUGGUAACGGAGGCAGAUUCAUAUGUGGAGAUCAUGGGAUAAAUAAAUAACAGCAAAAUGUGAGCAGCGUGUGCAGGCGGCCUCUGAGUUGUUGCCCUCAUUGCUAGUGAUGUUGGACUCCUACCAAAUGUAAGUGCUGAUGAUAAGCAUCAUUCCUAAUGCAUAUUAUGCCUUGUAAUUCCUCCAAUAUAGCAUUGGAAAGUAUUCUAUUAUCUGUUGUUACCAUGUCGUAGCAAAAAGGCAUUAAUUUGUUAAUUUUAAUUUGGUUCAUAUGUGUCAGUCGACAUACAAUGGUUUUGUAUAUGUGUUGUAGGUGGUGCAUAUGAUACUGAAGAUCUAUACAUGAUUACUGGAAAGGUUGUGUGAGAUAUACAGGUUUUAGUACCCAGAACAAUAAACUGACAAAAGUGCAUGUCUUUCAAAAAAUUACAAUGUGAACUGCUUUUGAUAGUGCUAACAUUCACACCCUUGUAAUCAACUCCCUCCAUCCCAUACUAUAAGAUCGUUUUGCAAGCUGUUUUAGCCUAUAAAACGAUCUUAUAUUAUGGGAUGGAGGGAGUAAUAAAUAUCCUUCUUGUCAUGGACAUUCUCAAGCAGUGUUACUAUACCUUCAUAAAUAUCCUUCUUAUCAUGGACAUUGUCAAGUAGUGCUGAUGUAUCUUUGUAAAUACAUAUAGUCUGCCUUAUUAUUAAAUGAUAAGCUACUAAUGUACUAAUUUUCUAUUUAACUUCCUCAUCCUCCUUGUUUUUGUUUCGCCUGCUCGUAUAUUGGAACUUACCUGGAACCUCUUCAUUGUGGUAAAGUAAAUAUAAAUUUUAAAAACACAUUUCUAGAAAUCUAGAAGUGUACAUAAUGAUAAAAUUAAUCACCUUUAUAUCUGGAAUGUUUUGCUUGUUUAUUUAAUUAUUUAACACGGUGUCCACCUCAUCAUCCGUCAAUUCCUGUGCAAUAUAUGUAAGAUGAAUUAUAUAGGGAAUUCUAUAAUUAAAUGCACCUUUACCUCCUCAGCUUUACCCUGCAAGUAGAGUAUCUCUAGCCUACCAUCAUGCAUAAUUGUUCUUUUAAUUGCCAAAAGGUUAUAUUACUAUCAUUUAGCUUUAAUCCAAAUAUAAGUCUCCUAGCAAAAAGUAUCAUCCAGCGCUUCAUCAGAUUUCCCAUCGACUGAGUUCAAUAAGCUAGAUGUACUAAGCAAUAUUGCAGCCUCCUCGUAAUAUAAAUUGCAGUUUGUAGUAGCUAUGUUGUCACUGAUUUGGAGUCAAGUAUGGUACCUACUGUACCAUUCAUGUUAAUCAAGAGUAAGUAUGAUAUAAUAGUUGUCCAUAUGAGUGAUAUGCUUACCUUGGUGUUACCCUUUUCUGAUAUAUACCACAACUCUUGCAAUAGGAUGUGUCAGUUUUCUUGGUAGCAAGUUUGUGACAAUCUUCACAUCACAUGUACCACCAUUGAAUAUCAUCUUGUAACUGAUCUAUUGUAGCUAUUGUUGUGAACACAAAAUUCUAAAUAUCUUAAAAACUCAAGAAAUUGAAAGACACAAAUAAGUCAACUAAAUCUCAUUAUAACUAACAUUACACGUCUCAGAGACUCGUUAUCCAGGAAGAGUGAUGAUAGCAUACAUUGGAACUCGUACCUGAUUUCUCCGGAUUCAUGUAUCACUCUAGUAAGUUCUUGUAAUGUUCUCCUCCUAUAAAACAUUUGUUCUUCUAGUGUUCCUUGAGUACUAUAUCUAUGCUGAUCAUUUUUAGUAAAGUUUUUUCUGCCGAAUGCCUAUGCAUAUUUGGAUUAAAUAAGAAUGAUUGAUCUUUGCUUCAGCUUGACUUUGAUGCAAGUACACUUAAAUUUUGAUCACAAUCAUUAUAAAUAUAAUCAGCGGUGCAGAUUUUUUUGUUAGCAUUGAUGGAUGUCAUGGAUCGGUUGCCUUCCUGGACCUCACAAUGUUGUUGCCUUCAAAACUAUCUUAAAAAGUAUUUUUUUAUUGACAGUGUAUGUAUGAAAGCUUAUUACAAAUUUAGACAUUUUUGUGGGAGAUUAGAAAUCAAGACUUGUUCAGAUGGAAACAUCUAAACACACAUGAGUCAGCAAAGAUAUUACCUAAACUAAUUUGAUGGCUUGUUAUCUGCCUUCUUUUGAUGCUGGGUGCCAAGACGGCAAGACGUCACAGGAGUGUACUGGAUGCAUCGUGUCUUUGAUCCUCCGGCAUGACGGACUGGAUAGCCUGCAGUCAUGGUUUCGAUCUACCGGGCGUUCGAGCAUCACUUGUGUGUUCAAACCCAUCAUGUUUCAGCGCACGCAUUGGGUGUUUUCUCACCUUCAUGUGUUACGACAUCCUUGUGUAAUUGUGUUUGUAGAUGCCUAUGCUUGAAAGAAAUCAAUCAGGCCAUAUGAAAAUCAAGUAGAAAAUAAUUGACCAGAUUGUACUUUGCCUUUGAUAGACGUGCACGUGACGGACUUGUAUACAUCUAUUUAGGCAGGUUGACUGGUUCUAGUACAUGGAUCCGUAUAUGACGAUGAGUCCUGGCUUGCAUUGUAGUAGUACUUCUUUUUGACCUGCGUAUAUGUUGUAGUAGUAGUAGGAUAGGGUUCCAUAUCUGAUUUCGAUUGUAACUAAAAAAGGAUUGUUUAUUCCCCUUCAAAGAAAAAGGAUUGUUUAUUCUUGUA